GGCAUAAUACAUGCUGCUGUGUUCUGACGACAGCUAGCUAAUUAACCUCAAAACUGAAUUUUGUUCAGAUCAUAAGUAAGUUUUCAUCGGCUCGAGCAAGAAUUGCAGGGGAAUUUAAGGCUCUUGCUCGCGGGGUAAGUGACAAUGCAAAUCCAACUGGUUGGUACUACUGCCUGAUGUAGUAGCUUCAUGUGCUGCAUGAGAAGAAAAAGAAGAAGAGAAGAAUUCAGGGACAGGACAGAAGAAAAUUUUCCAUCUGCUGUCUAUUGGUGAUUACUGAUCAGUGGUCAGAAAUCUCAAGGAUCUUCCCUUCUUUUGAUCCACCUGUGUCUGCAGAGAACACUAAACUGGUUUAUGCUUGCUUAUCUGUGUGCAUGUGGUGAUUCUGGAAGACAGCCAAGCGUAUGUUGUUUACUUUAACCAUUAUUUGUUAGCACUGAAUGUAUAUGAUUCGUUACCUGCAAACAUCUCAAACUGCAUGCUAUUUUGAUAUCCAAUUUGUUGCUAAGCUAGUCCUCAAUUUUGUCAUUUGGUCGGUAUAUUUCUUGUUAUUUACCUGUCAUAUAUGUUGGACAAUUUUCAUAGUUCAGGCACUGUCAUUUGUCAAACUGCCUAAUUUGCCGAUGAAAUGCAGUAUAUAUGAAACCGGCAUAAUACAUGCUGCUGUGUUCUGACGAUAGCUAGCUAAUUAACCUCAAAACUGAAUUUUGUUCAGAUCAUAAGUAAGUUUUCAUCGGCUCGAGCAAGAAUUGCAGGGGAAUUUAAGGCUCUUGCUCGCGGGGUAAGUGACAAUGCAAAUCCAACUGGUUGGUACUACUGCCUGAUGUAGUAGCUUCAUGUGCUGCAUGAGAAGAAAAAGAAGAAGAGAAGAAUUCAGGGACAGGACAGAAGAAAAUUUUCCAUCUGCUGUCUAUUGGUGAUUACUGAUCAGUGGUCAGAAAUCUCAAGGAUCACUGCUGGGUGGACCUGAUGGAUGGAGACCAUCAAGCAGCCAGCCAGCCAACCAAUCAUCAAAGCACCACAGCGAAAUGUCUGCCUGCCUGCAUUACUGCUGCCUGUACAAGAAUUUCCUCUUCUUUCUCCUCAAGUUGUCAUAUUUUUGGGAAUACAAUAAUGCUUUAUUUUUUAUAAUAACUUAAUUUAUGAGUGGACCGAUGUAAUGGAUAUGUUAUGUCAUGCAAAUGCGAU
rnacentral:lncRNA from 1 species